ensembl:snoRNA
AGUCACUGAUGAUUUUUGAUAUAAGAGUAGUGGACAGAAGUGAUUUCUGAGUCGUUUUACACUGAGACU